rnacentral:rRNA from 1 species
UACGUAGGUGGCAAGCGUUGUCCGGAUUUAUUGGGUUUAAAGGGUGCGUAGGCGGUCUUCUAAGUCAGUUGUGAAAUACUUCAGCUUAACUGGAGAGGUGCAAUUGAUACUGGAAGACUUGAGUACUGAUGAGGUAGGCGGAAUGGACGGUGUAGCGGUGAAAUGCUUAGAUAUCGUCCAGAACACCGAUAGCGAAGGCAGCUUACGUAAGGAGUAACUGACGCUGAGGCACGAAAAGUGUGGGGGAUCAAACAGG